GUUACUUUAUUCUUGUUAAUCACUAUAUAUUAUACAUAAUCAGGGUUCAAAUUCAUCUUCCCUGGUAACGAAGGGAAACAAAAGGUCACCUCUUUCGUUCCUUCAACCUUGCACACAUAUAUAGGUACUACGGCUGCUUACAAGUAAUUAAAGACGCUUACACGCAGACGGAGUUACAUAUAGACUUGAAGUGGUUGUGGUCACUAAGACACCAAGUUUAGCUCCACCACUACGAUUACUUAUAUAAAGAGCUUCAAUUGAGGGCAUAGUCAACGAGCUUGCUGAGAAUAUAUCUAUAGCAAGCACAUACAAGAACUAGUUACCCACUAAUACUAUAAUUACUUAAGUGUAUACUUCGAUUCUAGGGCAUACUGGACGAGCUUGCUGAGCUCCUUGUCUAUAGAAAUGAAGCCAUCGCCGUCGUCAUCUGCAUACCGUUGAGCAAACCAAGCUCUACCAGGAGGCCAUAUCGAGCCAAGUUCUUUGAAGGCUGCAUCAGCUCAUCUUUGGAAAGUUGACCAUCUCCAUUCUUGUCAUGACGUUUGAAGACGUUCCUUAUCUGCUCCUUUGUGUAGGGAAACUUGGCCCUCUUAUUACGGACCUUAUCAAGUUUACUGUGAUAACCCAUCUUCUACUAAUUUAUUAACUGCAAAACUACCAAGGAAUUAACAAAGGCU
rnacentral:lncRNA from 1 species